rnacentral:rRNA from 1 species
AGUGAACGCUGGCGGUAGGCCUAACACAUGCAAGUCGAACGGCAGCACAGUAAGAGCUUGCUCUUACGGGUGGCGAGUGGCGGACGGGUGAGGAAUACAUCGGAAUCUACUUUUUCGUGGGGGAUAACGUAGGGAAACUUACGCUAAUACCGCAUACGACCUACGGGUGAAAGCAGGGGAUCUUCGGACCUUGCGCGAUUGAAUGAGCCGAUGUCGGAUUAGCUAGUUGGCGGGGUAAAGGCCCACCAAGGCGACGAUCCGUAGCUGGUCUGAGAGGAUGAUCAGCCACACUGGAACUGAGACGCGGUCCAGACUCCUACGGGAGGCAGCAGUGGGGAAUACUGGACAAUGGGCGCAAGCCUGAUCCAGCCAUACCGCGUGGGUGAAGAAGGCCUUCGGGUUGUAAAGCCCUUUUGUUGGGAAAGAAAAGCAGCAGGUUAAUACCCCGCUGUUCUGACGGUACCCAAAGAAUAAGCACCGGCUAACUUCGUG